AAUCCCAAAAAGGGUAAUAAAAAAACAAUUGAAAGACGCAUGUCAUUCGUGACCGUACUACCGUAAAGGAGGCUCGUACGACAAGAAGCAUUGGAAAUUGGAAGUAGCAGCAGCAGCUAUGUAUAUCAUCAGAAGCGGCAAAUAUCAAUUGUUAAAUAUUAUUAUGAUUUUUAUUUAAUUAUUCUUUCUUUUCAGAUUUUAUCACUAUUUUUAUUUAAUUAAUCUUUGCUUUCAGAGUAAAUCUAUUUGUAUUUAAUAUAUCGGGUGAUUUUUUAAGAGCUUGAUAACUUUUUUUAAAAAAAAAACGCAUAAAAUUUGCAAAAUCUCAUCGGUUCUUUAUUUGGAACGUUAGAUUGGUUCAUGACAUUUACUUUUUGAAGAUAAUUUCAUUUAAAUGUUGACCGCGGCUGCGUCUUACGUGGUCCAUUCGGAAAGUCCAAUUUUGGGCAACUUUUUCGAGCAUUUCGGCCGGAAUAGCCCGAAUUUCUUCGGAAAUGUUGUCUUCCAAAGCUGGAAUAGUUGCUGGCUUAUUUCUGUAGACUUUAGACUUGACGUAGCCCCACAAAAAAUAGUCUAAAGGCGUUAAAUCGCAUGAUCUUGGUGGCCAACUGCCCAUGCAUCCCG